UCAUAUGUCAGAGAUAUUUUGCUCGUGUAGAUGAUAUUAUCAUCUACACGAGCAAAAUAUCUCUGACAUAUG
rnacentral:miRNA from 1 species